rnacentral:rRNA from 1 species
UACGUAGGGGGCAAGCGUUGUCCGGAUUUAUUGGGCGUAAAGAGCGUGUAGGCGGCCAGGUAGGUCAGCUGUGAAAACUCGAGGCUCAACCUCGAGACGUCGGUUGAAACCACCUGGCUAGAGUCCGGAAGAGGAGAGUGGAAUUCCUGGUGUAGCGGUGAAAUGCGCAGAUAUCAGGAAGAACACCCGUGGCGAAGGCGGCUCUCUGGGACGGUACUGACGCUGAGGCGCGAAAGCCAGGGGAGCAAACGGG